CGGAUGCCGAUCUCGAAAACCUGUCCCAGUUCGGACUGGAGUCUGCAACCCGACUCCACGAAGUUGGAUUCGCUAGUAAUCGCGCAUCAGCCAUGGCGCGGUGAAUACGUUCCCGGGCCUUGUACACACCGCCCGUCAAGCCAUGGGAGCCGGGGGCGCCUGAAGUUCGUGACCGCAAGGAUCGACCUAGGGCAAAACCGGUGACUGGGGCUAAGUCGUAACAAGGUAAC
rnacentral:rRNA from 1 species